ensembl:lncRNA
GGUUGUAGUUGUUAGGGUUAGGGUUUAGGUUUAGGGUUAGGGUUGUGGUUGUGGUUGUAGUUGUGGUUGAGGUUUAGGGUUAGGGUUAGGGUUGUGGUUGUAGUUGUAGUUGAGGUUGAGGUUUAGGGUUAGGGUGGGGUUAGGGUUGUGGUUGAGGUUUAGGGUUUGGGUUAGGGUUGUGGUUGGAGUUGUAGUUGUGGUUGAGGGUUAGGGUUAGGGUUAGGGUUGUGGUUGAGGUUUAGGGUUAGGGUUAGGGUUGUGGUUUAGGUUUAGGGUUAGGGUUAGGGUUGUGGUUGUAGUUGUGGUUGAGGGUUAGGGUUAGGGUUAGGGUUAGGGUUAGGGUUAGGGUUGUGGUUAUAGUUGUAGUUUAGUUGUGGUUGAGGUUGAGGGUUAGGGUUAGGGUUAGGGUUGAGGCUAGGGUUAGUGAUGUGGUUGAGGCUAGGGUUAGGGUUAGGGUUGAGGCUAGGGUCAGGAUUAGGGUUGAGGGUUAGGGUUAGGGUUGAGGCUAGAGUUAGGUUUAGGGUUGAGGCUAGGGUUAGUGAUGUGGUUGAGGCUAGGGUUAGGAUUAGGGUUAGGGUUAGGGUUAGGGUUAGGGUUGAGGCUAGGGUUAGGGUUAGGGUUGAGGCUAGGGUUAGAGUUAGGGUUGCGGCUAGGGUUAGUGAUGUGGUUGAGGCUAGGGUUAGGGUUGGGGAUAGGGUUAGGGUUAGGGUUGAGGCUAGGGUUAGGGUUGAGGCUAGGGUUAGUGAUGUGGUUGAGGCUAGGGUUAGGGUUAGGGUUAGGGUUGAGGCUAGGGCUAGGGCUAGGGUUAGGGUUGGGGUUAGGGUUAGGGUUGAGGCUAGGGUUAGGGUUGAGACUAGGGUUAGGUUUGUGGUUGAGGCUAGGGUUAGGUUUGUGGUGGAGGCUAGGGUUAGGGUUAGGGUUGUGGUUUAGGCUAGGGUUAGGGUUGUGGUUGUGGUUGUAGUUGUGGUUUAGGGUUCGGGUUAGGGUUGUGGUUGUGGUUGUAGUUAGGGUUGAGGGUUAGAGGGUUAGGGUUAGGGUUAGGGUUAGGGUUAGGGUGGU